GUGCCAGCCGCCGCGGUAAGACGUAGGGCGCGAGCGUUGUCCGGAUUGAUUGGGCGUAAAGAGCUCGUAGGCGGCUCGUUGCGUCGGCUGUGAAAACCCGCAGCUCAACUGUGGGCCUGCAGCUGAUACGGGCGGGCUGGAGUUCGGUAGGGGAGACUGGAAUUCCUGGUGUAGCGGUGAAAUGCGCAGAUAUCAGGAGGAACACCGGUGGCGAAGGCGGGUCUCUGGGCCGAUACUGACGCUGAGGAGCGAAAGCGUGGGGAGCGAACAGGAUUAGAAACCCUUGUAGUCC
rnacentral:rRNA from 1 species